rnacentral:tRNA from 1 species
GAGGGUAUAGCUCAGUGGUAGAGUGCAUGCCUGGCAUGGACCAGUUCCUGGGUUCUAUUCCCAGGGCCUCUA